rnacentral:rRNA from 1 species
CACGCCGUAAACGGUGGGCGCUAGGUGUGGGUUCCUUCCACGGAAUCCGUGCCGUAGCUAACGCAUUAAGCGCCCCGCCUGGGGAGUACGGCCGCAAGGCUAAAACUCAAAGGAAUUGACGGGGGCCCGCACAAGCGGCGGAGCAUGUGGAUUAAUUCGAUGCAACGCGAAGAACCUUACCUGGGUUUGACAUAUACCGGAAAGCUGCAGAGAUGUGGCCCCCCUUGUGGUCGGUAUACAGGUGG